GAUGAACGCUGGCGGCGUGCUUAACACAUGCAAGUCGAACGAUGAAGCCCAUCUUGCUGUGUGGAUUAGUGGCGAACGGGUGAGUAACACGUGAGUAACCUGCCCUUAACUCUGGGAUAAGCCUGGGAAACUGGGUCUAAUACCGGAUAGGAGCGUCCACCGCAUGGUGGGUGUUGGAAAGAUUUCUCGGUUUUGGAUGGACUCGCGGCCUAUCGGCUUGUUGGUGGGGUAAUGGCUCACCAAGGCGAAGACGGGUAGCCGGCCUGAGGGGGUGACCGGCCACACUGGGACUGGGACACGGCCCAGACUCCUACGGGGGGCAGCAGUGGGGAAUAUUGCACAAUGGGCGAAAGCCUGAUGCAGCGACGCCGCGUGAGGGAUGACGGCCUUCGGGUUGUAAACCUCUUUCAGUAGGGAAGAAGCGAAAGUGACGGUACCUGCAGAAGAAGCACCGGCUAACUACGUG
rnacentral:rRNA from 1 species